GUUAGUUAGGCACCAGGCUGCUUCCACAUAGUCUCUUUUAUAGUUACCUGAUGGAAGCAACAAGCAGGCAUGACUCAACUCAAAGGAGGAUUCCUCCAGCAAUACAUCAGAAAGCGAUAUAGGACUAUGACAACUUGGGACAUAUCCUGGGCAGUCUAUCCUCCCAUUUUGGAUUUGGGUCUGAUAGACCAAGGGAAAGUUGAGGGUGCCUAGAAGAGAAGCUGUAGGCAAGCAGAGUGUGGGAUGCUGCACACCAUCAUCACUGGCUACCCAACAUGAGAUAACCUGAACUUUGUUUUUUUAAACUGGCAGGCUUUCUUUUUCUUUUCCGUUUUUGGAUAAUUGACUAAAGAGCUAUAAAGCUUGGCCUUGAGGCUGGGGAUCAACAGCACCUACAGAGCAGACUACGCAAAGCACACAGCUGGUCACAGAUUUCCUCAUUAGGGUAGGAAUGGGCGGGAAAUAUGUGGAGUUGGCUUUUUGAUUGUAAAUCAUCCAGAGAGCUUUGGCUAUAGAAAUGAAAUGAUAUAAUAGGAAUACAGACUUUUCCUGAAUUGACAUUUACUCCCUGGAACAGAUUUUCAGAAGACACAGAAGGCUGCAAAGGGAAGACUGAGGGAUGGAAUUUUGGAGGAAAAUGGUGGAAACAAAGGUGUAAUCUUCCUCUCGCUGGACACAGUGGUACAACUCCAAGCUGAGGUUGCACAUGCUUAUGCUAGAGAUCCUGCCAAGGUGCUUGGCCAAAUCCAACUGACCACCUGGAUGCUUGGUGCUUCCCUUCAUGGCUCAUUAUAUCCGAUAGAGGGGUUAUUCAGGUGGAUCCGAGAGGUUGUAAAUUCUUCCUUGACAAAGGCAUGGUGUUGGCUUCUUUAAAGGAAGUAGUAAUUGCAUAAUUGUGUAUUUUAUAAUGUUGUAGCUUAUGAUUAUCGUUAUUAGUAUUAUAGUUGAGAAUCAACCAGAUAUCUUUGUUGAGCAGUAUAGAAAUGUAAAACAUAAAAUGAAAAAAUAUACUAUUUUAAGCAUCUGAAGAAAGGCAUUUAGUGCAGCAGGGCUCACAAACAGUGUAAGCCUUUGUGCAGCAAUUUAGAAUUAUCCCAUUGAGUUCAAUAAGACUCAUCUCAGGUAAGUCUCCGUAGCAGAGGUAGGAGAGCUUUGUUCUGUAGAGGGGUGUAUCUCUUCAGGGUUAAUCUGUGAGGGGUCACAUGCCACCAGUUGUUUGGAUUGUAGCCAAAAGUGGGUGAGGACACCCCCUUUCUCUUACUCCCUCUUUCUUCUCCUCCCUCCUUACCUUUCCCUGCCUUUACCUCCAUUGGUGCAUAAAUUUUACCCCCUCCUCACACCCUUCUGGCUUUGCCAGAGAGCCUCUUCUUUUAACCACUCCUCUGUCCGCUUUGACUCACCUGCAUUUUUGCUUCUUGUUUUCCUUGUCUCCCUGCAUGCAAUUUGGUUGAAGGUGGCAAGUUUCCCACAUCCAGUAGAGAGGAUCAUAACCUAACCCCGUAAGUUUUCAACACACAUAAAAACAGUUUAAAUAUUCAAUACUAAAUUUUAAAUGCCUCUUAUCGAACAAAUCUCUCUCCUUGACCUAUACAUUGUUAUUGCAUUCCCUAUUUCUUUACAUCCUUGCACUGACUUCUUAUACUUGACUAUGAGCUGGUUUGUACUGUAAGGAAUAUUAUUCAAGCCAUGCAAAUCACAUAAUUUCUUUGAGAAAUUACAUGUAAAUGUCCAAGAUAGAUACGAGGUGUCUUUUUAGAGGGGGGUGAUAAUAGUUACUGCAUUGUUGCUUGAUUUUCCAUAGGGGACAUAAAUCAUGCUUCUGCUUUUCCUCAAGUGAAGAGUAUAUGUGAAAAUCCGUGAAAGAAAUCAUAGUUUGGAAGACAGAAGAACACAAAAUAGGACUGGAACAGGAACAAAGACAGAAGAAAAGUCAGAUAAGCUGUAACCUGGAGGCUGGAAGACAGCUUGCAGGUAUGCUCAUACUUGUUUGUGCAUUGUGGACUUGGCAAAUCCAAACAGAAGAUGUCAGCAGGUCAACUGCUGAUGCAGAAUAACCUGGAAAUGUACUUACAUGUGAACACCUGUGAAAGUGACAUGGACCAGAAAUAGGCUUCUGAACAGCAAUGGUGAUAAAGUGUACCAAACUUUUAUGUUCCUCCUACUUUUCUGCAUGUGCAUCAUAGAAAGGAAGUUACAUCUUCUUGGCACAUAAAGCACCACCAGCUUAAGAAGCAGCUCUUUGAAUAAUGCAUCAUUUGCAAACAGAAGUGACAUAUAUUCUGCAUAACAAUGUGCAUUAACAGAGAUAGCCCUUUUCAAAUGGGACUGAAGAUUAUUUACACAAAUUGGGGAGAUACAACAAUGAGAUGCUUUUACAUUAUUUAUAUUACUUACAAAUAGCUUAGACGUGAUAAACUCUGCUGAAAAGUUCUGUGAAUCAUGGACCGAAGAUGGUUUCUGAAUCAUGGUAUUCUGUAACAAUUCAGAGAUUAUUUCAUUUUCUAAGAACUCAUCUUUUAGAACUCCAUGUCAAAUGCAAGAUGCAUGACUUGCAUCUAUUUUGUGUUUGUUUUGGUGGAUGUAAACUUGGUACAGUUCAACAUCAUUUUAAAAUUACAACUGGAUUGUAUAUCACAGUGAUAAAAGUGUGUCAUGCCUUUAAACCUUUUUUAUCAACAGACUGCAGGAAGGCUUGUAAGAACCUGCUGAUCUCCCUAUCUUGGUUUCCUGUUAGUGUAGUAUUUCUCCUUGCCAUAUCAUGACCAUGUGGCAUUGGUCAAGUUCUUGACCUCUGGGCUAAGUAGAUUCUUUUGUAUUCUUACCUGAACUGGUAACAUACUCUUUCCAAAAGAUGGGGGGAAAUGUUAUUUUAUGUUAUUUGGUUUUGAAAAAGAUUUACAAACAUUCACAAUAUCCUCUGUAUUUGACAUGAAAAGAACUUGAGAUUUUUAAAACAUCAAAUAUGGGAGAGUUCAAAUUGACAAAUUACUCUGUCCAGCCCCAGAGUUUUAAGGGCACAAUUCUUAAAAUUCUGGAUUUGAAUCCCUCUGUAUUCAGCCAUGCAUUUUCUGAAUUAGGAUAACCAACUCUUUGUUUUGGCAACAUCUCUAGCAUUUAUAUCACAGGUAGGUACAAUAGGGUUCUAGCCAUCUUAUGAAAAACUUUACCUGUUGAGUUGGAUUGGUGCAGAUAGAUGAUAAUUUUGUUACUGUUUGGUUUUAAUAAGAAUUUACCAAAAUUUACAUUGUUUAUAUUUAGAAAGGAAAGAACUCAAGAUUUUUGAAAUGUGAUUAAGGGAGGAAGCAAAACAGACACAUUCACUUAUCCCUAUUUCUCCCACCACCUUCAUACUAUUAUCACAGUGGAACAAUCACUGCAUUUGUUCAGAAAGGCAAUGUGGAUUAGAACUUUCUCACUCCUCUCCUUAUCUAUUUCUACUAUAUGACUUUAUGGUGCUGUCUUGCCUUUUAUCUAUUUUGUGUGACAGAACUACACAUGAUUUGCAUGUCUCUCUUUUCUGUGCUUCUCGCAAGAAAAUGGCAGCCCUUCAUCCUAUGUUCUGUUUCAUCACAGUGACUGCAUUUUGCUUUGGACUCUGUUUUGCUUCUUUGGAAAGUGCAUUAUGUGCUUGGUCAAUGGAAGGAAGGAAAGAAGGAGGGCUGAAAAUGGAGGGGCUGAAUUUACCAAGCACAUUCAACCUGCCAGCUCAGGACUUAGUCCAGGAAUGGAAAACCUGGAAAAAUGAGUUUAAUUUCUAUGUGGGCAUUGCAAUGCAUUGCAAUUCAUUGUAAAUGAAACUGUUUCUAUAUUUUGCUGGAGAAAAGGGGAGAGAAAUAAAUGAGAUGUUGUAUGCAAACAUUCCCUAGGCACAGCAUACUUUGGCUACAAUAAUGCAUUGUUUUGAUGCCCACUGCAUUCUCAGAAAGAAUUAAAUAGUGGGAAAAUGUAGCUUUUUUUUCUUUUGGCAGAAGCAAGCAGUAAGGAAAGGCAUUGCAGACUACUGCACUCAUUUACAGAUGCUAGGAACCAGUUGCAAUUUUGAAUAAAUCAAAGACUCAGUGAUGAGAUGGAAAUGCUGUUAGUAGGCAGUUUCUUUGAUUAGAUGAAGGAAAUUCAGCCUGUAUGCUUCCAAGAUGGACUUGCACUCUCCUCGAAGGAGCAGGUUCAUAGGGGGAGUGCUCCGUGAGCCAUCUUUGUCACUUGAGGCCAAGGUGACUUCAGUGGCUUGGAGUGCUUUCUUCCAGUUUUGGUAGCUAUGCAGAUAGCUACACUUCUGUCUGGAUAAAGAUAACUUGCACUCUGGCAGCCUCUAAAGUAGAUUACCUCAAUGCACUCUGCAAGGGGCUGCCCUUGAAUACUCUUCAGAAGCUGUAGUGCAAAGUGUGACAGCCAGAUCAUCAACAGGGACCAGGCAGUCAGACCACAGAACACUCACUUGCACUGGCUGCCUAUAUGCUUCCAAGAUGGAUUCGAUGUGCUGGUUUUGAUCGAUAAGGCCCUACAGGAGACCACAUCUGACAGAGCACCUCUCUCAACAACAGUCUGCCUGGGCACUACAAUCAUGCUCCGAGACCUGCCUCUGUCACCUCCAAGGGAGGCUUGACUGGUAGCAAAAAGGAGAAGUGCCUUUUCAGGGAUGGCUCCCAGUUAUGAAACGACCUUCUCACUGAGGAUAAUCUGGUGGCCAGUUUACUAUCCUUUUGGUGCCGGGUUAAGAUUGAAUGAUAACUGUUUAUGAUGCUUUUAAUAUUGCUUGUAUUUUAUAUUGUGUUUGUAUGUGUUGUAGAAAAUUGCUGCCCAGAGAGCUUCAGCUAUUGCGAGGCACAGAAAUAAAUAAAUAAAUAAAUAAAUAAGUCUCUUAGUUAUUUAAAUAAAUAAACCCAGUCUCUUACAUCUUUAAACCCAGUCCCUUACAUGCCACAACGGUGACAAGCUUAACUACCAUGUAACCAAAUAUUUGUCAAAAGAGAAAAAGCACAAAGCUAGAGUGCACAUUGUAAACAUAGAGAAUCUCAGUGAAAGUGAAGAUAGUUUG